UACGUAGGGUGCAAGCGUUGUCCGGAAUUAUUGGGCGUAAAGAGCUCGUAGGCGGUCUGUUACGUCGGCUGUGAAAACCUGGGGCUCAACCCCGGGCCUGCAGCCGAUACGGGCAGACUAGAAUUCGGUAGGGGAGACUGGAAUUCCUGGUGUAGCGGUGGAAUGCGCAGAUAUCAGGAGGAACACCGGUGGCGAAGGCGGCUAUCUGGACAGAGUCUGACGCUGAGGCGCGAAAGCUAGGGGAGCAAACAGG
rnacentral:rRNA from 1 species